GUGGCGGAAGGGUGAGUAACGCGUGGGUAAGCUACCUCAAUGUUGGGGACAACCAGAUGAAAAUUUGGCUAAUACCGAAUGGGGUCCCCUGACAAAUGUCGGGGUGAUUAAAGGUGGGGCUCCUUAAUUGGACCUGCCGCUUUGAGAUGCACCCGCGUGCCAUCAGCUUGUUGGUAGGGUAACGGCCUACCAAGGCUUACGGCUAGCCGGCCUGAGAGGGUGACCGGCCACACUGGGACUGAGACACUGCCCAGACUCCUACGGGAGGCUGCAGUCGAGGAUCAUUCGCAAUGCGCGAAAGCGUGACGAUGCGACGCUGCGUGGGGGAUGAAGGCCUUCGGGUCGUAAACUCCUGUCAUGAGGGAAAAGUAUCCCCACAAUGAAUAGUUGUGGGGCUCGAUGGUACCUCAAGAGGAAGCCACGGCUAACUCUGUGCCAGCAGCCGCGGUAAUACAGAGGUGGCGAGUGUUGUUCGGAUUUACUGGGCGUAAAGGGUGCGUAGGUGGUUUUGUAUGUCGGAUGUGAAAGCCCAUGGCUCAACCGUGGAACUGCAUUCGAAACUGCAGAACUAGAGUGCAGGAUGGGAGAGCGGAAUUCUUGGUGUAGCGGUGAGAUGCGUUGAUAUCAAGAAGAACACCGGUGGCGAAGGCGGCUCUCUGGAAUGCUACUGACACUGAGGCACGAAAGCUGGGGGAGCAAACAGGAUUAGAUACCCUGGUAGUCCCAGCCGUAAACGGUGCACACUUGGUGUGGGGAGAUUUAACCCUCUCCGUGCCGGAGCUAACGCGUUAAGUGUGCCGCCUGGGGAGUACGGCCGCAAGGCUAAAACUCAAAGAAAUUGACGGGGGCCCGCACAAGCGGAGGAGCAUGUGGUUAAUUCGAUGCAACGCGAAGAACCUUACCAGGGCUUGACAUAUACCUGCAAGCCCCCUGAAAGGGGGGAAUCCUUCGAGGGUGGUAUACAGGUGCUGCAUGGCUGUCGUCAGUUCGUGCCGUGAGGUGUUGGGUUAAGUCCCGUAACGAACGCAACCCUUGUGACUAGUUGCCACCGGCGGUGAUGAGCCGCCGAGCACUCUAGUCAGACUGCCCGUACAAGCGGGAGGAAGGUGGGGAUGACGUCAGGUCAGUAUGGCCCUUACGUCCUGGGCUGCACACGUGCUACAAUGGUCGGUACAAUGGGAGGCAAUACCGCGAGGUGGAGCAAAUCCUGAAAACCGGCCUCAGUUCGGAUUGAAGUCUGCAACUCGACUUCAUGAAGU
rnacentral:rRNA from 1 species